CGUGUAGGCGGCCGGGUAAGUCAGAUGUGAAAUCCUUCUGCUCAACAGAAGAAGUGCAUCUGAAACUGUUCGGCUUGAGUACGAGAGAGGAAAGUGGAAUUCCCAGUGUAGAGGUGAAAUUCGUAGAUAUUGGGAGGAACACCUGUGGCGAAGGCGACUUUCUGGAUCGAUACUGACGCUGAGACGCGAAAGCGUGGGGAGCAAACAGGAUUAGAUACCCCUGGUAGUCC
rnacentral:rRNA from 1 species